rnacentral:rRNA from 1 species
UACGUAGGGCGCAAGCGUUGUCCGGAAUUAUUGGGCGUAAAGAGCUCGUAGGCGGUUUGUCGCGUCUGCCGUGAAAACCCGAGGCUUAACCUCGUGGCUUGCGGUGGAUACGGGCAGACUAGAGGUAGGUAGGGGAGAAUGGAAUUCCCGGUGUAGCGGUGAAAUGCGCAGAUAUCAGGAGGAACACCAAUGGCGAAGGCAGCUCGCUGGAACGGUACUGACGCUGAGGCGCGAAAGCGUGGGGAGCGAACAGG